AGCAGUAUUACAAUACUCAAUAGGGAUUCUACAAAAACAGAUCCUUGAAAACCAGCUAAAAUCAGAUCUCCCCUCUAAAAGACUACACUCGAUGAUUAAAUGCGAGUCAGACAGAAGAGCUGCAAUGUAUGAAAACUAGGAAAGUGAUACUAAUACUGUAGUUUCCAUGCUCUGUGUUUCUCUUCCACAAAUACCUCAGACACAAACAUAUCCCCACCCUCCCUCCCCAUCCUGUUUAAAAAUUACUAUUGAACACAAUUAGUCGUACUCCAAUAACACAUGAACUGUCAAAAUCAAUACCAGGUGUGUGAGAACAAUGGAUGGCUGAGACAGCUAGCUGAAGGAAUCUCCUCCAUGGCCCCCGCCUACAGUACGUGGAUUAUAUCAGAUGCUGCCCCCACUCCUCCCGUGAAAAAGUCAAAUACAAACAACUACUCGCGCCCCCCCCCCCCCCCCUUGCGUGGCUUCCGUUCAGAGCAGACUAUGGCAACCCUGCAGAGAGCAGAGGGGCACUCCCUUUAGCUUGACCUGUGACUGUUACUGGCUUGGCUGAGCGGUAGUGGGCAAGGCAAGUUUCUCCAGCUUCCACGGGGGACAGAAUGCCCUCUCGUCAUUGUCUACUGACACUGGGCUCAGCUGCCCCAGGGAGGGAGACACACACACACACACACCAAUAAACCCACGCUGUGUUUAUUGCCUAUACUCCUCCCGGGCAGGCUGGACAUUGAACUAAAGAGGACGAGGAGGUGGUUUUGUCAAUCGUUGACGAUGCAACGGUUUCGCGGGAUGGAAUGAGAAGCUGCUGUCGUUGAGGGCAGCGGCCAGCAUCGUGCGUGUGUGUAUAUCCAGCUCUGUACCUGUUCUGGUGUCGCUUCCCUCUGCCCGCUCUGUGCCACGUUUGGUGCCCAGCCUCGGCAUUUCCCAGCUCACUGGUGGAGACGCAGUACCGCAGCAUCACCUACAUUCACAACCCGCCCCUAACCUAACCAUAACGAGUAGAGAACACUGGAGAGGCAGAGAUCAACACGUGGGACUGGGGGCCCAGAGGUAAAAUUCCAAUUGAGCCAAAUACCAUAAAACACUGACUCACUCACCUUGCCCGUUCACACAGUCGCAGAGCGAGGCACAUGCCCAGGCACUGACAAGCAGAAGCCCAUUGACUGCAGAGAAUGAGUGAAGCAAGUCGCAGAGAGCAGUGUGUGGCUGUGGCACCGACUGGCUCCAGUAACAGAUGAAGGCCGUUAGCAGCCUGGGAUUGUAACUACAGAAUGAAGCCCUAACCCACUGUCUGUGCUUCUGCCUCCUCAUUACCAAGUAAACAGCGCGGGCCCACCAGAAGCAAACUUUCACCAGAACGGAAACACCACUGCAGGAUGGAGUGUUGGCCACCAAGCCUCCUACAGGUUGGUUGGAACAGCAAUCGGUCCUGUGAUCAGGCAUUCAUCAACUCACAGUGGAGAGUACCAGGGUGUUGCAGUGAGGAGGUGGUAGAGCAGUGGCUGGACACGCACACACAUCGUAACACCCUCCCUCCCAGGCCCAGCCACACAAUGAAAACAGUGCACUAAAAGAGGCUGUGAAUUAAAUCAGCACCUGCAGACUCCUUUUGCCUUCACGGGCUCAAACCCGAUGCUAUAAGCCAAGGCAACUAAUCUACAACUCAUUGGCUUCUACAAUUAGUUGUUACCCCCAAAAACAUGG